GACGGAGGGGGCUAGCGUUGUUCGGAAUUACUGGGCGUAAAGCGCACGUAGGCGGCCUUUCAAGUCAGAUGUGAAAGCCCCGAGCUUAACUCGGGAACUGCAUUUGAUACUGUUGGGCUUGAGACCGGGAGAGGAUAGCGGAAUUCCCAGUGUAGAGGUGAAAUUCGUAGAUAUUGGGAAGAACACCAGUGGCGAAGGCGGCUAUCUGGACCGGUACUGACGCUGAGGUGCGAAAGCGUGGGGAGCAAACAGGAUUAGAAACCCGGUAGUCC
rnacentral:rRNA from 1 species